rnacentral:RNase_P_RNA from 1 species
CCAGGCGGCCGGGCGAUCGCGGCGGUGCUUGCACCGGCGAGGAAAGUCCGGGCUCCACGAAACGACGGUGCCGGAUAACGUCCGGCGGCUUCCCUCGCGGGGAGUCAGGGACAGUGCAACAGAGAGCAGGUCACGAAGACUUCGGUCCCGUGAACAGUGAAAGGGUGCGGUAAGAGCGCACCGCGCCCCCGGCAACGGCGGGCGGCGAGGUAAACCCCACCGGGAGCAAGACCGAAUAGGGGCGGCGCGCGACUCACGUCGCAGGGCAUGUUUCUGCCCAGUCGCCCGGGUUGGUUGCUUGAGGCGUCCGGCAACGGCCGCCCUAGAGGAAUGAUCGCCCAUCCGCCCGCGCGUCCCGCAAGGGAUACGGCGGCGGUGGACAGAACCCGGCUUACAGGCCGCCUGGCAAA